GUGAGGAAUUUCCGCAAUGGGCGAAAGCCUGACGGAGCAAUGCCGCGUGAAGGAUGAAGGCCUAUGGGUUGUAAACUUCUUUUCUCAGAAAAGAAUUAUGACGGUAUCUGAGGAAUAAGCAUCGGCUAACUCUGUGCCAGCAGCCGCGGUAAGACAGAGGAUGCAAGCGUUAUCCGGAAUUAUUGGGCGUAAAGCGUCUGUAGGUUGUUUAAAAAGUAUUCUGUCAAAGAUUAGGGCUUAACCCUAGAUAGGCAGAAUAAACUUUUAAGCUAGAGUUUGGUAGAGGCAGAGGGAAUUCCCGGUGGAGCGGUGAAAUGCGUAGAUAUCGGGAGGAACACCAAAGGCGAAGGCACUCUGCUGGGCCAAUACUAACACUGAGAGACGAAAGCGGGGGGAGCAAAUGGGAUUAGAUACCCCAGUAGUCC
rnacentral:rRNA from 1 species